rnacentral:rRNA from 1 species
GAUGAACGCUGGCGGCGUGCCUAAUACAUGCAAGUCGAACGCACAGCGAAAGGUGCUUGCACCUUUCAAGUGAGUGGCGAACGGGUGAGUAACACGUGGAUAACCUACCUCAAGGUUGGGGAUAACAUUUGGAAACAGAUGCUAAUACCGAAUAAAACUUCGUAUCGCAUGAUACAAGGUUAAAAGGCGCUACGGCGUCACCUAGAGAUGGAUCCGCGGUGCAUUAGUUAGUUGGUGGGUAAAGGCUACCAAGACAAUGAUGCAUAGCCGAGUUGAGAGACUGAUCGGCCACAUUGGGACUGAGACACGGCCCAAACUCCUACGGGAGGCUGCAGUAGGGAAUCGUUCCACAAUGGGCGAAAGCCUGAUGGAGCAACGCCGCGUGUGUGAUGAAGGCUUUCGGGUCGUAAAGCACUGUUGUAUGGGAAGAACAGCUAGAGUAGGGAAUGAC